CUGGCUUUCUGUGUCUGGAGGUGAAGAGCUGUUGCAUGACCUUGAGGACAAGAGCCACAUGCUAACGAUGAAAAGCAGGAAGACAAGAGGAGUCUGGGUCCCUCGGCUACUUUAACCCUCCGCUCCAGUCCUGGGCUGCCUACUACAUCUCUUUUCUGGUUCCAUUUGUCCCAGCACCAAAGCAGAGGAGACCCAGAAGGAUAAGCCAGAACGUUGGGUAGCUGGGUCGCCACCCCAACAAUAAGAGGCACUGGAGGAGGACUCUGAAGGCCUGGCUUAGAGGACCUGCUCAGCACUGUCUCACUCAAUGUGUGGCCUCAGUUUACCCAUCUGUGAAGUCAGGGGAGAAACUGAGGCCAGAGGAGAAAGAAACGCCCAGACGAGGCACUUGUUGGCCUCACACGUGGAGCCAGCCCUGUUUUCUGCAUGCACCAGCUGUCCCACUGAGACCAGAAAAAGAGGGAAUUGAAGGACAGCAUGCUUCAUCCACGCUGACUGCUGACCAGUCACUGCCUCCUUUCAGGAGAAUGAGAAGGCUGACCAGGGGGCCCUUCACAUGUCAUGAUUCAGAGGCUCGGGGACAUGCCAGGUCCUUCCACUACCUGCAGCCCUCAGAUCUCUCUUAGGCGCCUCACCUUCAUCGUGCACAUUGCACCUCACCACACAUGGCCUCUGCAUUGAAGGAGGACCGUUGUCAUGCUUUUUCUAAUUCAUAAUAAGAUUCAUAAUAAGAACUGUGAGGUUCAUUCUUAGAGCUGAGAGAAUAGAUGCUCGCUGGGGUGAAGGGGUAGAGAGAGCCAAGAUUAAAAGCCAGUUCAGUCAUUGAUGAAACUUAAGGCCUUUUUGCUGGAUCCCUCUCAACAGUGGGACCUGCCCGAUGGCGGUGUUCAGGUUAAUGUGAACGUUUCACACAAGGGCCCAUUUCUCACAGGCACACACCUCCCUUGGUGCUUCUUUAGGUUGUGAGGCUAGGGCCCUUAGUCUUUCAUUUCAGGAUUUUCAGAAAUGAGUAGGACAGCACACGGAGGUGCUCUGUAGAUGUGCAUGUCUAACUGAACCCUGCUCCCCACUUUGCACCUUUCUCCAUGGCACCAACAGCGGCCCCAAGGUGUGGCUCCAUUCCUUUAGAGUAUUGACUGUUGGCUAAGCUUUUCACAUCGGACUCCCACAAUCACCCUAAGAGAUUGAGAGGAAAGCUAUCUCUAGCCCGUUUUCCAGGUGAGCAAACAUUUCUUCUAGUAUCACAAUAGUGCACCUGUGUAAAGAACUUGGCUUUUGCAGAGCUCCAUCUGUGAUGUCACCUUCGCCCUCUACAACUCUAGAAGGCAGCUAGCUGGGUGCAGUGUGGGCUGAGGCAUCAAAAAUCACUGGUUUCUAUCCUAACUCUGCAGCUUAGAGCUCUCGAGUAUUAUAAUCUCUGUGCCUCAGGUACUUCAGCUGUAAAUUGGCGAGCAGGGGCAUCUACUUCAAGAGUCACUGUGAAGAUGAACUCAGAGGGCAUCACUUGGAAUGAAGAACGCCAUCAAUAAAAGUCUAUUGCCUUCCUCCCUUCUCUUUUUCGAUGAGAGCCGAAGGGAAUGAAACCAGAUUAUAAUGGCUGCUCGUUAGUUCCGAGGACCGUCCAGGAGGGGGGAGCAGGUCAUUAAGCCCCAUUUGGGGUUAAGGGGUUUCUCCUUUGAGGUCCAAGCAGGCAAGGAAUUAGAAGGAAGGGAGCCCAGACCUCGGCCCCAGCGGCUGACAG